AUUGAACGCUGGCGGCAUGCCUUACACAUGCAAGUCGAACGGCAGCGGGCCUUCGGGUGCCGGCGAGUGGCGAACGGGUGAGUAAUGCAUCGGAACGUGCCAUUGAGUGGGGGGAUAACGUAGCGAAAGUUACGCUAAUACCGCAUAUUCUGUGAGCAGGAAAGCAGGGGACCGCAAGGCCUUGCGCUCUUUGAGCGGCCGAUGUCAGAUUAGCUAGUUGGUGAGGUAAAGGCUUACCAAGGCGACGAUCUGUAGCGGGUCUGAGAGGAUGAUCCGCCACACUGGAACUGAGACACGGUCCAGACUCCUACGGGAGGCAGCAGUGGGGAAUUUUGGACAAUGGGCGCAAGCCUGAUCCAGCCAUGCCGCGUGAGUGAAGAAGGCCUCGG
rnacentral:rRNA from 1 species